CCGGCCCGCGCGAGCUGCAGCCAGAACUAAUCGACUCCAGAGAAAUCGUACGGAAAAUCAGUUUCACACAAUAGUUCCAACCCACAGUUUAGCCGCGAUUCCACAAGCAUCUACUCUGCGCGGUACGGUUCGCCACUAUUGUAUCUGACUCGGCUCGUCUCGGUUUAGUUGCUUUUCCAUAUAGCCUCGUCGUGGGUGGAGUCGUCAUAGCAGCGAGCCGAAAGUCCCUUAACGUCAUUUGCGUGCGACACAAACGCAACAUAACGGAGACGAUGGUUCACCUGCUGCUCGGUCUGUGGCUUUCUGUCAGAUUCAAAGUAAUAGAAGAGUCGGAGAAAGCUGAGAGCGGCGAGUCGGAACACUGAGGAGACACACAGGAGAGUUUGGGAGGCGAUACAGCAGCAUCAAGCUGAAGACAAGAGGAUAUGAACGAGACGACAUAUGAGGAUGCUCUCUUAUGAGACUUCAUGGGAUUUACCUGAAGCAGCAGCACAUGAGCCUGCAGUGGUACAAGGUGUAGAGGAGGAGGACAGAGAUGUACAGGAUGCACUGAUGCACUACGUGUCAUGCAAAAGUUAAGUUAUUCUUCUCGUUAUACUUGUUUUUCUGUCCCCGGACUGCUGUUGUUUUCUUUAAUGCAAUUCUGACAAUAAACUUUUGUACCUUUUGCA